CAGGGUCCCGCCUUCAGGUGUUUGGGACUCUGCUGAGGGUGUGGGUGCCCCGCGGUGGGGGCUGAACCUUCCUGGGGUGUGGAGAGACGAAAGGAGCCCAGAUCCAAGUUCCCUCGUUCCCGCUUUGGCAUAAGUUGCCCUGGCGGUCUCAUGAGAGAGAGAAAGAGCUGGGACCCUCCUCGCCCCAGUGAGUGUGAUGUCUUGCUCCGGGUGUCCUGGGGCAACUUUCUAUAAAGGCGGGACGUGGGAGGAUCAGACAGUGUAACAUCAGACAAGGGUGUUGACUCUGCAGCACAGAACCAGUAGUUUGUGGAGAAGAAUGGAGGUGAG
rnacentral:lncRNA from 1 species